rnacentral:lncRNA from 1 species
AGACAAGGUCAUCUAUGCUGGAGUGCAGUGGCGUGCUCUCGGCUCACUGCAACCUCCACCUCCCGGGUUCAAGCAAUUCUCAUCUCACCUUCCUGAGUAUCUGGAGUUGCAGCGUGAGCCACUGCGCCUGGCUAAUUGUUUUGUAUUUUUAUUAGAGUUAGGGUUUCACCAUGUUUGCCCGGCUGGUCGCAAACUCCCGGCUCCAAGUGAUCCGCCCGCCUUGGCCCCCAAAGUGCUGGGCUUGCAGAUGUGAGCUACUGUGCGCAGCCUUUAUAAACAAUUUUGAUAUAUGGUGAAAUUUCUCAAAGCUUGCUGAUCAUAGUGAAUUAUGCUGAUAAGAAUGGGAAACAAGAUUAUUGGGAAUAAAUUGAAAAAUAUUAAAUAGGUUUUUAUGCGUCAAGGGUAAAAAAAAUGUGUUUUGAGUAAAUGAUCUGAAAUACAGCAUGCUUUUUUGGUAAAAGCUUAGUAUAAUGUAGGGUGAAGUUAAGGCGUUGGCGAUAACCAGAAUCAUAAUUCUCAUUUUAAAUAAUGCUAUGCUACAUCUGCACAAAAUAGAUUAUGUAUAUUUUUGGCUGCUGUACCAUGAAAAUGAUGACUAAAACGAGGUCUAGAGAGGGAUAGUUUAAAAAUGAUGGGAAUUUUGCCUCCCCCUUUCCUUUUCCCAAAAAUACUAUUAGCUUGCCUAAUUUAACCUUUCACUUUUUUUAUCCCCAUCUUCCCCCACAAAAGAAAGGAAUAGAAAAGAAAAAUACGAAAGUGAAGAAAUAAGAACCUGCUCUAAAGUUAUUUCUUGGUCUGGGUUUCUUUAUGGAUCAUCUCUUAAUUAGCUUAAAAACAUUUGAUUGAAACCUAUUUUGGAAGUAUCUAUGGAAAGAAUUAAUCAUUACCUGAAAUACGUCUUUUCAUUCUUUUUCCUUGUUAUGUUGUAGUGAAAUUAUCACAAAGAGCAGAGAGUAAAUGCUGCUAACAGUUGGUGUAUAUCAAAUGUUUGUUUCUUUCUUGAGACUGAGUGCGUGUGUGUGUGUGUUAGAAUCGGGACUAUGUAACAAUAACUAUAGCAAAAUAUCUCUUAGUCCUAAGUUUUGGAAACCAGCUGAUUCUCUUAUUUACUGGUCUCUGUGCUAGGCUAGCUCCUCUCUCCCUUAGGUUUCCUGGCUACCUCGAGAGGAUCUGAAAUAAUAGUCUUGGAUGAUGUAUCAGUAAGGGUUUAACCAGAGAAGCAGAGCAAGUAGAUUUAUAUAUGAUUGUUAUGUAUUAAGAGAUUUAUUACAAGGAAUUUGGCUUACAUGAUUGUGAGGGCUGGCUAAGCAAGUGUGAAAUCUGUACGGCAGGCAGUUAGUGGGAGAAGAUUGUGGGCAAGGUGGAAUCCAUGGGCUUAGGCUGAAGCUGUUCUCCAUAGGCAGUCAGGAAGGGAAGAUACAGCGAAGAGAGAACAAUUGUAGACUCAGCUGCUGUUUGGAGUCUCAUUUGCUCGGAAGAACCUGAUCUCUUUUAAGAGCUCACCUGACUAGGUCAGGCUCACUGAGGAUGAUCACCCUGGCUUAAAGUCAGUUGAUUAGGAACUUCAAUUACAUCUGCAAAAUCCCCUCACAGCAGUACCUAGAUUAGCAUUUGACUGAAUAAUUGAGAGAAGGUAUUUGUGCUACAAAAUGUCUGCUGUCCUGUCUUCUUUCUAAGAAGAAACCAUUACAGGUGGAAAAGCAACACUCUUAACUUGAUCUUUGCUACUACCUGACAGAGAACCCUUGAACUCACAAAGUUAUUUCCUGGUAUUUAGAGCACAGAAGCAGCUGCCUUUUCCAUCCUGGGAGGCCCCAAAUUACUGGACUCUUGUAGGUCGGAGUUUGCCACUGAGAAAGCUUCUUUUUAGUAGCACUGUUUUCAUGUCUGUCUCUGCUUGCAAACUGCUUUAUAGGUGAAUUGAUCUUUCUUGUUGAUCUUUAAAUAGCCAACACACCAUAUUUCGAGUUUUUCUAACUGCUUUUCUUAGAACUACAAACUUAGUAGGCAUAUGAUGUGCCCUUCCAAUUAUUGCAGGCAAGAGUUUUACUAAAUGUUCUGCAACUGUAUAGCACAGAUCAUUAGAUCUCCAGCCUGAGAUGUUUCCUUGCUACCUGUUCUCUAAGCCUUACCAGAGAUUUUAGGAGUUUGUUAGAGCAGCGUGUCAUUUCCAAUUAACUGUAUUAGUUAAGUUUUUUGCCUUAACUGAAUUCUAGUACAGAAGUACUUUUAUGAAGAAAAUAUAAGCAAUGCCAGCAUCUAUAUAGUGUUCUUACUGAUUUGAUGAUGCCCUUAGGUUGUCUUUGAACUUGAAAAUCUCUAUACAUUAUUAUUGCAGGACCUAUAAACUAUGACUGUUGUGUAGUUCUCUUGCACUAUCUUUCCAAUGUUCUUUGAAGAACUGUUUCACUGUUUAUUUUAUCUAUUUCAAAUGAACUAGGAGUAAUUUAAAACUUACAUAGUUGCUGUUCAGAAAAUGUCAAAAAAGAAGAGCUUGUAUAAGAUACAAUGUAGAUAAAUUUAAUUCUAUUGAGGGGGUAAUAUCCUUUUAAGAUACAAUGUAGAUAAAUUUAAUUCUAUUGAGGGGGUAAUAUCCUUUAAACCAAACUUGUCUAAAGUUUUCACCAAAUGUUAAACUGUGAGUAAUGUUUUCUUUUUAUUUAUCCAUUUGAUUUUUUUAUAUUGGAGGAAUCUUAAAAUUGCAGUAUCUUUUUCCACUUUUAUUAAAUCAUAUAGUAACUGUGAACUGAAAAUUUAAACAGUAGAGGAAGAUACAGAGUAAGAGUUGAAGAUUUUUUAUAUCCCUAGGUGUAAAUUGUAAGUGUAUGUAAUCCUAUGCCUUUUUCUGUGCAUUUUCACACAUAUACAGAUAUAUCUAUGUAAUUUUGUUUUGCAUAAAUGAGAUCAUUAUAAAAAUAUUGUUUGAAACUUUCUUUUUAAAUUAAUAUUCCAUCAUAGAUUUUCACGUUAAUACACAUAUAGUUAUCUUAGUCCUUUAAAUGGCUGUGAGUAUUCCCUUGUCAGGUAUCAGGACUUAAUUGCUUUCCAGUUUAUGGAAAUUUUGGUUGUAUCCAAAGUUCUGCUGUUACAAACAAUACUGAAGUGGACUUUUUGAUAUUGUUUCUGUAUUGUGGUAAGAUAUAUUCCAGAGGUAAAACUGCUAGACCAAAGGUAUGGGAAUCUAUUUCUGUAACUGACAUUUUAUUGUGUGUCAGCACUGUAUUUUAAAAACUAGUGAUUUUGUAGUGGUAUAGGAUCUGAUAGGUCAAACAUCAGCUUUCAAGCCCUGUUCAUCUCUGUUCUUUCUGGAUAUCCCUCUCUGUUGACUACUUUAUCCAUAAAAGGGCCAGAUCAUAUAUCACCUCUUUCCUGAAGGUGUUUAUAACACCUAGAACAUUGAAUAAUUUUAACCCCAGUAAUAGUUUAGUGAGUGCUUACUGUGUGCCAGCCACAAUUCUAAUUGGUUUAUGUGUAUUACACUGCUGUAUAUCAUUUAAUCUUCCCAGUUCUAAGAGGUACAUAGUAUCUACACUUUGUAGUUGAAAAAAUCAAGGUAAAGAAUAAGUAACUUGUUCAAGGUCACAGUAAGUGAUGGAAAUGGAAUAUAAACAUGGGUAGUCUCACAUGAAAGUCUGCUUUCUUAACUCUCAUAUUGUACUGCCUUCUUACCAUCCUUUUAUGGCCUCCCUAGUAAUUGCUCAAGAAAUAUGUUUUGUAUGCAUUGUAGAGUUCACUAGCCAUUUCAUCUUGCUUCUAAGUCCUCUUUACAGAUCUGUAUGAAUACCGUCUUACUCAAAUUUAUGUAUAGUGACCUAUCCCCAAGUAGGAUAACCAGAGAGAAAUGAUGGAGUAAGGAGGGUUAUGGAAGACCUCCUUACUCCAAAACACUUUACCUGAAUGUAGCUAGUUAAUACUGCUCUGUUUUAUUUCAUCUUGUUUCCCUAACUCCUGUCUUGGGAACAUUCAUGGAUUAAUCUUGGGAUGGAUUUCAUAGGUGGAAUAAAUGGGAAUGUCACUCUUCAAUAUUUCUGAAACAUCAAAUCAAAAUACAUACCUUGUAGAUUACCUCUUACAGUAAGUGCUCAAAAUGUGAAGUGGGAAGAAUGCUGUUUUAGACCCUCCUAUACCUCUUAAUUCAUGCUGUUAGUGUCCCACUGAUAUUGUUUAAAGAUUGAAUUAAGUCAUAAUUCUGAAAAGCGGGAACAGAUGUUAUUAUAUUAGUCAAACUACCCUUAAGAGGAACAAAAGGACCUCAUUAGCUCUAUAACUUUAAUGUGUACUUGGGUGUAUGUGGGGAGAGAGACGUGGCUGAUCUUAUAUACUUAGCCCUCUCAUCUUUGCUGAGGACCCAUUGUGUGUCCCAUGGCCUAUAAAUCAGGGUUCUCAUGAUCCCCUUCUUGAGUUUGAUUAAUUUACUGAGCAGCUCACAGAACUCAGGGAAACACUUAUGUUUAAUACAUUUUAUUGUAAAAGAUAUUACAAAGGAUACAGCUGAAGAGAUGCAUAGGGUAAGGUUGAAUUUCAGAUUUCAUUUAUUAGUUGGAUUAGAGAAGAAUGGGAAGGGGACCAAUUAGAGAAAAAAAUCAUUGAAGUUUUUAGUAUUAAACAUUGUCAAGAAUCAGGAUUGUGUUCUAGAUUAUAGCCUCUUGGAGGUGGACUAAUUUUAUUUGCCAUUCUGUCUCCAGUGUAUAUAGUAUAAACCCUGCCACCUAGAUGGCUUGGUAAGAGGAUUACUGUGAAAAUUAAAUGAGUUAAUAUAUAAAAAGCAUUUAAAAUGGCAUAUAGUAAGCAAAAUGUAGUUUAAAAAUAUGACAUAGCUG